GAAAGGCUGAAGCUUCACUUUCAUUGCAGUUCAUGGCCUGUCAAGUGGGAGCGAGGAUGCUGAGGUCUGGUUUAUUAGUGAUGGAGAGUGAAGUCUCUGAAAGAUCAUGUAAGACUCUCAAAGCGUAUGCAAUGCAGAACUGGAGCAGUGAGCUGAAUUUUAGUGGACAUACAUCAAAAUUUGGCGUAAAGUCUUUCCCUUUUCUCAGGAGGAGGCUUCAAUUGAGAAGACAUGAUUGGAGAAUACCAUUUGCCUUGAACACAGGGGGGUUAUCUGGAAAUGGUGGACAAGAGAAUCUUGAUGGUGACAGUGGUCUUGGUGGCACGCGAUUGGGAAGGAUAGUAAGUGCAGGUGGCCAACAGCUACUACAGAAGCUGAAUUCGGCAAGAAAGAACUUCCCCAUGAAGAUAUUUCUCGUUCUAUUGGGUUUCUACACCGCAAAUGCACUUGCUACAAUUCUUGGACAGACGGGUGACUGGGAUGUAUUGGUCGCAGGUGUUGUGGUUGCUGCCAUUGAAGGGAUUGGCAUGCUAAUGUACAGAAAGCCCUCUUCUCUAUCCACUGGGAGAUUGCAGUCUUUUGUAGUGAUGAUGAACUAUUGGAAAGCAGGAGUGUGCUUAGGUCUUUUUGUGGAUGCAUUUAAAUUAGGUAGUUGAACUCCUCUUCCUCAUCCUUCCCCUUGAGGUUCUUUUUCAGACAAUUUGACUGUUGUAUCCCUAGCAAUUGAUCAGUUAUCAAUAAUCAUGCUUCAAAUGUAAUUAUCUUUCACAUUUGAUUGAUUACCUCUGUUGCUGUCAUUGUUCACUGCACACACGAACACAGAUUCCGGUUUAUGUAGUUGAUUGGAGUCAGAAUUCAAC
rnacentral:misc_RNA from 1 species